GUUCCCUGACCAACGGGCAGGGAUUAUUAACACAUUAUUAAAACUCCGUUCGGAGCACCUUAAUGAGACCUGCGCUUAUUAGCAAUGGGAGCGAAUUUCACAGGAGUGAAGUGAUCAGUUAAGCCAUGUCUAUAGUUUCCAGACUACGCAAAUGAGGCUUUUACUUAAUUGAAUUGAACUUCUCAUGGCAUUCGGAGGCUGAACUCUAUCCUCCAGCGCAAGAGUUCACAACAGCAGUAGCUGAGCUGCAGCCUGAUUUAUACUUCUGGAAUGGAGGCCGUGAGACCAUCAGGCUUUCAAUUCAAUCUAUUCCAGUUUGUAGUGAUUUCCCUAAAAGGAGCCAGUUUUUGGUAUGCAGCAGAAACCUCAGGAUCCGUCAGUACCUGGAACCAUGCUGGGUGGACCUGUGAGGGAUGCACUGCAGCAGAAGGCUGCUUUUGUUUCAAGACUUCUGCAAGCAGAAGGAAGCGGCUUACGUACUGCCAUCAGCUUCUACUGCUACUUGCUAACAGGAGAAGAACUUGUUAGAUUAGGAAGUGAGUCUGUUGAAAAGGAAAGUCUCAAUAUUUCUGCCAACCCUGACCCCUUCUGUUCCUGUUUCCCCAGCGCUAUCACAGACUGCCACUCUUCCCACGGAUUGUCAGAGCUUAGACCAUUCGGUUGUCCCAGGUAUUCACCGUGGGCUUGAUCUGAAAUUCAGUGAAGUCUCUGGAAUUUGAUUCAGACCAUGGAAUCAGACAAUGGGAUUACAUGAUUUGAUCGAAGAAGAAAGUCAAGUUGCUUUUUUGCUAGUUACUGCUUGCCAUUUACCAGAAAUCUGGUUGUGCCUCAGAGGAGGUUAAAGAGAAGAAAUGACCUGGGGAUGAGGCAUCCAGGCCUGGGGAAAGAAGGGAAGACUGGGAACAAUACAACUUCUUCAAAAGCAUGCAAAAUACAGAGUUUAUACUUUUGAGAGACCUGAGUGGUCUUGUUAAUACAAGUAAAUAAGCAAAGCACAGCCUACUAUUUCACUUUGCCAUAGGCUUACUUGUUGUCACUAUGGGUUUUUCACUAGGAACCUGGCAGAAGCAAGUCCUAACAAGUAACAGAUUUACAAAUACUUCAUUUUGUACAAAAUUAAGGCCACGCUGUUCAUGACACAAGCUAUUAACUUGGGGAGCCCUCUUUGUAGAUCUGUUCUUCCAUAUGUGGAGCUCUGGUAAAGGUGUUCAGGGAAGAUGUAGGUUGUCACAACUCACAUGGUGUCAAAAGGCAUGCUGAGACACUCAGCUCUUGCAUGACAUUGAGCAAUCCCAUUUCCGAUGACUUUUUCUUUGUUCAUCUCUUUUCCCAAUGUUGGGAUACAGUGAAUGUAUAGUGGAUUGAUUUUUCUGGGUUUUGGUCAGAGGGGUUGCUUUUUAUGUUCCACAAGUUUCAUUUUACUGCCCAAACCAGGGAAACAUAAACACCAGAAGAAAGCAUGAUUAUCAUUUGGGAAGAAACAAGACAUUUUUAGAAGGAAGCAUAAAGGCCUCAAAGCUUAUGUGUAUAUGAGAAGGGAAUAUGGUCAAAAGACUAACUGAAAUCUGCGGCAUAGCCUACACACAGAUCAACAGGCACAUUGCAUUAGCUUCAGUGUCUCCCAGAUUUACUUUUGGCUACACUGCAAUGUUGAUCAGUCCCCAGCCACACCACACAACUAUUCCAAACAUAACCCAGAGAUCAUUUUAUCCGUUCAGAUUUAAGAUUUGGAAAGCAGAAAUUGGUAUGCAUCAGAGGUGUCAUUCCAACUCUUGGGGUUUGUCCAGCUCUUGGGGUUUGGGCAAUUGCCAUUAGAAAGACUGUAACACUUUCAUUACUCUUAUGAGUUUACUGGUUAAAAAAAUUCUGUCAAAGAUGUGAAAUUCACAUUUCUGCCAGUUUGUCACUUCCUAUACAUGUAUAGAAAAUGCUUGAGAGAGGUAAAUGCUACCACUCAGUGAAUUUUCAGCUUCAGAUAAAGCAAAGUAGGCAAGAGAAUGGAGUCUUGUAUUUUAGUACCUGAUCUGAUUACACUUCUCUGUGCUUAUUUAUAUUAACUUUACAGAGUCGCCUAUGACCCAUUAUCUAAACAGAUGUAUGGAAUUAUGAAUAUCCUAGGAAUUCAUACCAGACAAUUUUAAGAUAAAGCAGAGGAAGAGUGGGAAUGGAGAAGACUGUUUGGUUUGAAGGGUUUUGAUGUUUUUGAGAAAAAAAUAAUUUUCUUUAUGGAAAGAGGGUCUUAUUUUUUAUCAUCCUUCCUGUCCUUGUUGAUCUUCAUGGUCUGUUUGUCAUGGCAGAGUCCUAAACAAUUUUAAGGGGACUAAUCCAUUCAGAAACGUGAAUGAGAAGGAAAAAGUAGGAGAAAGGAUUCCUGAGUCACACUUGCAGAUACUGAACUUCACAGAGAGAAUAGUAAAAUUUCAGUAAGCUAGAAGUGAAUAAAAGUUAUGUUUCUGACAUGCACUGAAUCAUUUCUAGAGCCUUAUAAAGCAUUAUUUGGUUGACAAUGCCUCUUAAAAUAUCUGUUUACAAAAUGCAGUGUUACUUCCUGAAAUUUACCAUUUUUGCUCCAUGAAAAAUAGCACUUUUUCUGUGGGAAAAAAAAAAAGACAGACUUAGCAGCAGGAUCUUUAAUGUCAAGAAAUGGGCAAGAUGUCAGUUUUAUGCAGCAUCAGAAAGACAGAUAUAUAUAUUUCACCAUUUCUCCUAUCCUGUUUAUGAUUGUUGCAAUCACAAAUAAUGUAGCUGAGAUCUACUAUCUACUUGACCUGUAUGUAUUGCUACAUCUUGCUCCUAGGGUAACAGCACUUUGUCAUGUCUAUUUCUCUUCCUCGGGUGUUUAUCUAGUAUUUAACUCUGUCUGUUGUUGAGGAGCACAGGAGCGUGACUCUGCAGUAUGUAGUGCUUCACUUUCGGUAGGGUCAGUGCUGUGCAAAGGCCGUAUCCAAAAAACACCUGAGGUUAACAUACACGACACGCUUCUUAUUAAAAAGAUGGAAAUCAUACGUUUUUGUCUGUGCAUGUUACAACUUGGAUAGUACAAUCUGGAUGAUAAAACCAGAGUGUGAUGGUUUUUAUUCCGGUGAGUGGCCUGCCAUAAGCUACCAUGUGUCGCAGUGCUUUCUCAUAUUCUGUAUAAGCACCUUCUG